rnacentral:misc_RNA from 1 species
UAUUUACCCAUACUGGGGAGAGCCGC